ACGUAAUGAGUAUGAAGAAAUCAAGAGUAAAGGUAAUAUCAAAACAUACAUUGAACUGGAGGAAACAAACCCAAGAAAAGAAGAAAAAGGGUCUGAUGAUUUAAACGCCUAUUAUUCUAACGCAUCUUGAAA